rnacentral:misc_RNA from 1 species
GGUCAUAAAAACCAAACAACACCUGAUAAGAACAAGCAUAGUAGCUUUGAGAAGGAGGAGUCCGUAAUUAUAUCUUUUUCUAAUUAAUCUCAUUGGUAUAUUGUACCAAAUUUACGAGAACAGAUUUAUUUAUUGGCACAAGCCAUUCCAUUUACAAAGAGUAAGAAGAUCCAUGAAAACAGACCUUUUGCCCAUAACCCUGGCAA